AACGAACGCUGGCGGCAGGCCUAAUACAUGCAAGUCGAACGGAUGUAGCAAUACAUUAGUGGCGCACGGGUGCCUAACGCGUGGGAACAUACCCUUGCGUAAGGAAUAAUGUCUGGAAACGGACACUAAUACCUUAUAAUGACUUCGGUCCAAAGAUUUAUCGCUCAAGGAUUGGCCCGCGUCUGAUUAGCUAGUUGGUGAGGUAACGGCUCACCAAGGCGACGAUCAGUAGCUGGUCUGAGAGGAUGAUCAGCCACACUGGGACUGAGACACGGCCCAGACUCCUACGGGAGGCAGCAGUAAGGAAUAUUGGACAAUGGAGGAAACUCUGAUCCAGCCAUGCCGCGUGAGUGAAGAAGGCCUUAGGGUUGUAAAGCUCUUUCAAUGGUGAAGAUAAUGACGGUAGCCAUAGAAGAAGCCCCGGCUAAAUUCGUGCCAGCCGCCGCGGUAA
rnacentral:rRNA from 1 species